UUUACAUAGAACAUAGCAAGAAAAUUGUGCUUAAAUCUUAAAAGUUCUUUAAAGAACAAAAUUGCUAUAUAUAUUUAUAGCUGAAUAUGUUGCCUGAUUUAAAAGUUUGUUCAUUUAUUUUACUUAUUUGGUGCUUUUUUAUCAUGAAAUGUUGCCAUAUUGUUGUUUAUUUUGUUUUGUUGUUUUUACUUUUUUGCAAUAAUUACUCAUGUCAACACAUUUUUACUUUUCUUUCUAUCACAAUCAUGGAUAGGAGGAACAUUUUGAUAUUGAUUGUAAAGUGCUACCUACAAUAGGGGGCAUUGUAUUUUCCAGUCUGUGUAUCUGUCGUCCAUCUUUUUUUUGUCUGGUUUUUUUUACCAUGUUAAAAUUUUUGAUCAAGGUAAUUUUUGCCAUGCAUUUGUGGUCGCGUCAUCUUGAAACUUAAUAAUAUACACAUGACAGUGUUCGUUAUGAUGAGGAUUUUUAUAAUUUCUGACCCAAAUUUCGAGGUUCACCUAACAUGGAAAUAUAAUGUGAGCUGAGCAUGGCAUUCUAUGGGCUCUGCAUCCUUGUGAAGUAAUGGUAGCAGUCAGUGAUUUAUAGGGCACAUAGUAAUAUUUUCAAAAGCCAUGUCACCCUGUUUUAUUUUCUUCUGAUGCAGCACAGUAUUGUACUUAGUAUUUUAAGUUUAUUGACAAACAAAUGCAGUUUUAAACAAUUUGCUUCAUCAUAGAAUGCAAUAAGUUUGUAAUUUUUUUCAAUGACAGGUAAAAAAUUUUACCAACCUAAAAAACAAAGAAAUAAAAAGUAGAGAAACAUAUUGAUAGAGAGAAGAAUGUUUUGUUGUACUUAGUUAUGUCAUGAAUGUCAUCAAUUUGUUGUCAAAAUAUCAUCUGGAAUUUGAUUGUUUUGAGAUGGUCCCUAAAAUCUUCCUUGCUGAACUCAGUAUUGUACAUGCAUGUUGUGUCCUGUCUUUGUUAAGCUUCAUUUUGUGAUCGUAAACCGUGAUGGUGUAAACAUUAGAAGUGGAUUAUUUAUUUCAUUGUGGACUCUCCGAGAAGAACGACAACUGUGAUGCUACUAAUACAACAUAAUACACUUGAAGAGUGAUAUUGUACCAUAGAAUCGUAAUAGAGAUUCAAGACAUUUGUACAAUGCAAAUAGAUAUAAUUGUUUGUGAUAUUUAUUUAUGUUAGAGAUGUGUCAAAUGUACCUAUCUUGUUUUAAUUGACAGUUUUAUAUUGUAUUAAAGUUACUGAUGUUUUAAGAGAAUACAGAGCUCAACACUCUAGAUAUAUUUAUCUUCUCAAA
rnacentral:lncRNA from 1 species